AUACGGAGGAUGCAAGCGUUAUCCGGAUUUAUUGGGUUUAAAGGGUGCGUAGGCGGGACUGUAAGUCAGGGGUGAAAUACUGCAGCUUAACUGUAGCAUUGCCUUUGAAACUGCCGUUCUUGAGUACAGUUGAGGAAGGCGGAAUGUGGUGUGUAGCGGUGAAAUGCAUAGAUAUACCACAGAACGCCGAUUGCGAAGGCAGCUUACUAAGCUGUUACUGACGCUGAGGCACGAAAGCGUGGGGAUCAAACAGGAUUAGAUACCCUGGUAGUCCACGCUGUAAACGAUGAUUACUGGUUGUUAGCGAUAUAUAGCUAGUGACUGAGCGAAAGCAUUAAGUAAUCCACCUGGGGAGUACGUCGGCAACGAUGAAACUCAAAUGAAUUGACGGGG
rnacentral:rRNA from 1 species